UUAAAAUUUAACAUAAUAUUUACAUACUAUUUAUAAUAUAAAUAAUAAAUAAAUAAAUAAAAUUAAUUUUAAAUAUAUUUUGGUGUAGAUAAAAUAGUUCGAAAGAUGGAAACGGAUGACUGUAGAAGAUGGUUAAGGGCAUGUUUGGCCUAGAUUUUGAAAAAAUAAUUUUUAGAAAAGUGAUUUUGGUUUAAAAAAAUAAUUUUGGUUAAAAGCUGAAGAGCGUUUGGUCGAGUUUAGAUAAAAGCGAUUUUUUGAAGUGAUUUUGUAAAACUGUUUGGCAAAAUUAUUUUGAUGUUUCCAUAAAUUAAUAUUUUUAUUAAAUUUUAUCUUAAAAUAAUUUAAAAUAUAUCAAAUUUGAAUUAAAAUUUAAAUUUGAAAUUUUAAUUCUAGAAUA
rnacentral:lncRNA from 1 species